UUAGUUUUCUCACUUAGGAUGUUCUUAGAUUUUUAUCUUAAGAACGCUCGCAAGGUUUUUGAACCAACAGUUGAGAGAAAUUGAUUUGUGAAAAAUGGAGGACAUCGCCUGUAAACGAAGCUUUAACUUCUCCAAACAGGAGUUGGAGGUGAUGGUCGUUGAGAUCAUCAUCCGAUAAAGAUUAUUGUUUGGCAAGCUAGACAGUAUGAUAACGUCGGAAAACAAAAAGAGGGCGUGGGCCAAAGUUGCCCAGACUGUAUCUGCAGUGGCGGAUAUAGGAAUCGUUUGCGAUGUCAACGCUGUAAAAAGAAAAGUGGGCUGACAUCAAAUCUAUUGUAAAAAAGAAUGGAACGGAGAGGGCAAGAGAGUUGAAAAAAACCGGAGGAGGGAAGACGACAAUCCAGCUGGACCCACUGGAGGAGAAAUUGUUGGGGGCGAUUGCCGAAACGUUAGUUGAAGGAGUAGAUGGAGGAGUGGACACUGGAGAACCGGGAGAAGACGAUAGCCUGCAAGCAGGAGAUACUUUGGUCGUAAUAGCAGUCAACCAGGAUGCAGAACAAUCCCACACAAUCAAUGCAGCUGAACCAACCCAAGCCCUUACAAACCAUCAAAACCUGUUACAGAGUCCCAGGGAUGACCUGACAUUAUCCCAGCUAUUCUCGGAAACCUUUCAUACACCUGCCACAUCCAGAAGCAACACGGAGGACAUGGUCUCCCUUCAGCGUCAGCUUUUGGAGGAAGUUAAAAUGCUGAGGAUUACUCCGGAGCAACUUCUGCAGGUGGAGAGGGAAAAGCUGCUCGUCGAGAGGGAGAAGCUUCGCCUUGCCGAGGCCAAGUUUGAUUUUAAAAAAAAAGGAAUGUUGAACCUAGAAUAAAAUAGCAAUCACUCAGAGGUUUUCAUGUGUUGUUUAUUGUGGUUUUUCUUCACAUGAAUCUCCUCCUUAUGAGGUCUUGUCUCACUUGCAUGCCAGUGUUACAUGGGGCAGGGACUGGGACAUCUCCCUCGGGGUCAUCAUCUUCUGGGAUGUCAGGGAUUGGCAAGCGGUACAUAAUGCAGAUGUUGUGGAGGAUAAAAGCACAGGUAAUAAUUGUACAUGCCCUCUCAGGAGUGUACUGGAGCACUCCACCAGAACGGUCGAUACACCUAAACCUUGACUUCACUACCCCAAUGCACCUCUCCACAACACUACGUGUUUUUCGUUGUGCCCGGCUGUAGCGCUCAUCUGGCUCUGUUGCAGGGUGAAGGAUGGGUGUCAUCAACCAUGGUCUUAAGGCAUAGCCACUGUCUCCUGUCAUAGAGGACAUUAGUUAGGGCAAUACAGUAUGUUUUUGUUUUAACCUAAAGUAGAAUUCAUGUGUAGUUCUCACCUAACAACCAACCACCGGGCAUUUCUCCCUCAUUAAAUGUAAUGCCUGUUCCUGAAUUCAUAAGAACAAAGGAGUCGUGGGUGCUACCCGGCCACUUCGCAACAAGGUCUGUCACUCGGAGCGUUGCAUCACAUAUGACCCGUGUGUUUAUCGAGUGGAAAUUUUUCCUGUUCACAAAGGCCUCCUCCUCAUCAUUUGGUGCCUAUGGAAUUAAAAUUUAUGGAAUAAUUCAUACUUAAGGUAACGCUUCAAGCACCACGUAAAAUGUUUUUUGAUUCAAGCUGAUACGUUCAUAAACAGCAUAAACAGAUUUGCAAAAAAAUUCAAAUAAAUAACAUUAUCUUACUUUGAUUGCAAUAUGUGUCCCAUCAACUGCCCCCAGCACAUUUGGAAAU